GCCGAACACGGGAGCAUCGAUCCUCAGGGCGUCAUGUCCGGUCGCCCAUCAGCGCAGAUGCGGGAGAACGCCGCUUCGCGCGCAGUCCUGAGGGGAGCCAAUGGCGAGACCGACCGUCCAUCAC
rnacentral:ncRNA from 1 species